rnacentral:rRNA from 1 species
UACGGGGGGAGCAAGCGUUGUUCGGAUUUACUGGGCGUAAAGGGCGUCUAGGCGGAGUAAUAAGUCAGAUGUGAAAUCCCUCGGCUCAACCGGGGUGUUGCAUUUGAUACUAUUACCCUUGAGUACGAGAGAGGAAAGCGGAAUUCCAGGUGUAGCGGUGAAAUGCGUAGAUAUCUGGAAGAACACCAGUGGCGAAGGCGGCUUUCUGGCUCGUUACUGACGCUGAAGCGCGAAAGUGUGGGGAGCAAACAGGAUUAGAUACCCUGGUAGUCCACACUGUAAACGAUGGAUGCUAGGUGUCGGGGGUAUCGACCCCCUCGGUGCCGCAGUUAACACAUUAAGCAUCCCGCCUGGGGAGUACGGUCGCAAGGCUGAA